GAGUACCAAGUAUUAGAUAGACUCCAUGGUAUAAGAAUCAAAGAAGGGAGCAAAAGCAGUCAAGAGAAGAACUGCGAGUGGAGUGAAUUUUUUGUUGUUUUUGUUGGAGAUUACAGGCAUCAUCAUCAUCAUCACCAUCACCAUCACCGCAGUAUGUACAAAAAGAACUUUUCCCACCAUCUCUCCAUCUUUUCUAUAUGAGAUGAUGAGAUGGUCUCUCUCGCUCUCUCUCUCUCUCUCUCUCUCUCUCUCAACUUUCCUCUCUCUUGGUCUUGGUUUCUUCUCUUGUUU